rnacentral:rRNA from 1 species
UACAGAGGUGGCAAGCGUUGUUCGGAAUUACUGGGCGUAAAGGGCGCGUAGGCGGCCUUCUAAGUCAGACGUGAAAUCCCCCGGCUUAACCUGGGAACUGCGUCUGAUACUGGGAGGCUUGAGUAUGGGAGAGGCGCGUGGAAUUGCAGGUGUAGCGGUGAAAUGCGUAGAUAUCUGCAGGAACACCCGUGGCGAAAGCGGCGCGCUGGACCACUACUGACGCUGAGGAACGAAAGCUAGGGGAGCAAACAGG